rfam:Tulasnella calospora MTT 4182 unplaced genomic scaffold scaffold_19, whole genome shotgun sequence.
GGUGUGAUGGCCGAGCGGUCUAAGGCGCUGCACUCAAGUCUGUAACACGACUUUCCGAUUACCGGAGCCCUUGCAGUAUCGAAAGAUGCGUGAGUUCGAAUCUCACUUACACCA